rnacentral:rRNA from 1 species
CGAAGGGGCGUAGCGUUGUUCGGAAUUACUGGGCGUAAAGGGCGCGUAGGCGGUACUUCAAGUCAGGCGUGAAAGCCCCGGGCUCAACCUGGGAACCGCGCUUGAGACUGGAGAACUAGAGUUCGGGAGAGGAUGGUGGAAUUCCCAGUGUAGAGGUGAAAUUCGUAGAUAUUGGGAAGAACACCGAUGGCGAAGGCAGCCAUCUGGACCGACACUGACGCUGAGGCGCGAAAAGCGUGGGGAGCAAACAGGAUU